AAGUCGUAACAAGGUUUCCGUAGGUGAACCUGCGGAAGGAUCAUUACCGAGUGAGGGCCCUCUGGGUCCAACCUCCCACCCGUGUCUAUCGUACCUUGUUGCUUCGGCGGGCCCGCCGUUUCGACGGCCGCCGGGGAGGCCCUGCGCCCCCGGGCCCGCGCCCGCCGAAGACCCCAACAUGAACGCUGUUCUGAAAGUAUGCAGUCUGAGUUGAUUAUCGUAAUCAGUUAAAACUUUCAACAACGGAUCUCUUGGUUCCG
rnacentral:misc_RNA from 1 species